rnacentral:rRNA from 1 species
CGUAUGAACAGAGAGAAGCGAAGCCGCGAGGCGGAGCAAACCUACAGAAAAAUAAGUCUCAGUUCGGAUCGCAGGCUGCAACCCGCCUGCGUGAAGCCGGAAUUGCUAGUAAUCGCGGAUCAGCAUGCCGCGGUGAAUACGUUCCCGGGCCUUGUACACACCGCCCGUCACACCAUGAGAGCCGGGGGACCCGAAGUCGGUAGUUUAACCGCAAGGAGGACGCCGCCGAAGGUAAAACUGGUGAUUGGGGUGAAGUCGUAACAAGGUAGC